rnacentral:rRNA from 1 species
GACGAACGCUGGCGGCGUGCUUAACACAUGCAAGUCGAACGGUGAUGCUCCAGCUUGCUGGCGUGGAUCAGUGGCGAACGGGUGAGUAACACGUGAGCAACCUGCCCCAGACUCUGGAAUAAGCGCUGGAAACGGCGUCUAAUACUGGAUACGAAACUGGCCCGCAUGGGCAUGGUUUGGAAAGUUUUUCGGUUUGGGAUGGGCUCGCGGCCUAUCAGCUUGUUGGUGAGGUAAUGGCUCACCAAGGCGACGACGGGUAGCCGGCCUGAGAGGGCGACCGGCCACACUGGGCCUGGGACACGGCCCAGACUCCUACGGGAGGCAGCAGUGGGGAAUAUUGCACAAGGGGCGAAAGCCUGAUGCAGCGACGCCGCGUGAGGGAUGACGGCCUUCGGGUUGUAAACCUCUUUCAGCAGGGAAGAAGCGAAAGUGACGGUACCUGCAGAAGAAGCACCGGCUAACUACGUG